AUACGGAGGGGGCUAGCGUUGUUCGGAAUUACUGGGCGUAAAGCGUGCGCAGGCGGUUUUGUAAGUCAGAUGCGAAAUCCCCGGGCUUAACCUGGGAACUGCGUUUGAAACUGCAAGGCUAGAGUGUGGCAGAGGGGGGUGGAAUUCCGCGUGUAGCAGUGAAAUGCGUAGAUAUGUGGAGGAACACCGAUGGCGAAGGCAGCCCCCUGGGACGAGACUGACGCUCAUGCACGAAAGCGUGGGGAGCAAACAGGAUUAGAAACCCCAGUAGUCC
rnacentral:rRNA from 1 species